rnacentral:rRNA from 1 species
UGUGUAGGCGGACUAAUAAGUCAGUGGUGAAAUCUCUCGGCUCAACCGGGAAACUGCCAUUGAUACUGUUAGUCUUGAGUUCGGUUGAGGUAGGCGGAAUGUGUAAUGUAGCGGUGAAAUGCUUAGAUAUUACACAGAACACCAAUUGCGUAGGCAGCUUACUAGACCGACACUGACGCUGAGGCACGAAAGCGUGGGUAGCGAACAGGAUUAGAUACCCUGGUAGUCC